AAUAUAUAUUUAUUAUUGAUAAUAAUUAUUAAUAAAUGUUUUAUUAAAUAUAAAACAACAUUUAAAAAAAUAUGUAUAUAUUUUUAUAAAAAACAUUUGUUUAUUUAUUGUUUAUUUAUUUGAUUAAUUUCUGAUUUAAUAUGCGGGUUUCGCUCAGUAUGGUAAAGUUAGAGCACAUAAAGUCUCAAAAAUCGCUCUGACACAUGGUUAUGUGUUGUUUAUUAAGAAAUGUUCUGUGUCUGGAAACUGAUUUCUGCUUUUUUAAUUUUAGUGUUUUUCUGGAUAAGUGUGACUUUGUCAGGCUGUUGUGACAUUGAGGUUCACAUGGAUACGAGCCAGUAAAAAUAAUGUAAGAUGAUCCUCCAUGUGAGCGAGAUCUGCCUGAGGCCAGAUCACAUUUACGGAGAACAGGCGUCUCAUUGGUCACGUGAUGAUGGUGACUCACGUUCACCUCUGGUGUCAGGGCCAAUCAGGGGUCAGCGAGCGCAGACAAUCGCAGGUCUCCCCUCAGCCUCUGUGUCAGCAGAAAAACACAAGAUGUUUGCUGGAGAGGCGCUGAAGAGGGCUGGAUGCUAAACGAGCAGUCAGCAGAAAAACAAGGGCUGGCAGCCAAGCAGACAGACGGAGGGCUGGAGAGAUCCAAAGAGUGAACGCUUCACUGGAACUCACACACAGAAGAGGGGUUUGGAACAGAGCUGAUCUCUGUCUGUCUGAGAGCCUGAAGGCAGUAUGAAGGAUAAUUGAUCAUUCCGAGAUCUCUGUGACAGGUGAUCAUUCCAGACUAAGGAAUCAUCCAUUUAUUCCGGUAAGUGUCAUCAGAAGGUGUCUGAUCUAGAUUUAUGGUCAUUAAAAAAGCAUCAGUCUGAAGUUCAAUAUCAUAAGCUGCAGCAAAUUACCAGUGAACGCAACACAUUAAUGGAGUCCAAUACAAACAGGCCACAUAUCACAGGAUACAAUCUUUCUGAUUCUUCUCGCUUUCUCAUGGAUUCUCAGUUCAGGGAGGGAAUCCCAAUGUGUCAGAGGGAAUGAGGGGUCACGACCUUAAUGCAGAAUCUGAUGUCAUGGUUCAUCUAGAGGUUGAGAUAAUGAACGAUGAUGAAGAACUGAUUACGAAAGAGAGAAAUGAUUAUGAUGAUGAAGCUCAAGAAAGCCAGACAGUGAACAUACUCACACAUCCUGCAGCUAAAAACAGCACACAUGUGUUUUUAUCAGUCUGCUGUGAUAUUAAAACCUUUUUCCAUAGUUUAUAAGAUCUUUUUAUUCUCUAGUUCUUUAGAUAUCAUGUAUAAUCUGGUGGUUUAAAGAACACAGAAACCAACGCACUGGACCUUGAAAACAUUUAAUGAUAUUCAUAUAGCAGCUCAAGAACCCUGAACAGCCAAAAAUGUUUUUUGAUAUGAAGAAUGUUCUGCUGAACCUAAAGAACAAUAAGAACCAUUAUUUUUAGACUGUGUGAGAUGUUUUCCAGACAGUGCUCACCACCAGACCGUGGAAUAAAGGCAUUUCUUCAACAUGUUUGGACACAGAUCGGCACUCCGUGGAGCAGUUUACAUGAGCAACACCUCUGCCCAGAGCAACACACGCACACACAAUAAUAAGAAAAAAAAAGUCAAACCGGUUUGGAACAACAUGAGUGGCGGUGACCCGUAAUCCCAGAAUUCCGAGAGAUUCUUUUGUCUCAGAUACGACCAGGAGGGUUAGUGGAAACUGAUUCCUGCCUCUCUUGGUGAAGCCGUCUGAACGUGUGCCAGCUCUUUGAGACGGCAGGAGAACAGAAAUAGUCGAUCGAUGCAUCACACAACUGCAGUGACCUGUGCUCAGACUUUGAGGAUUCGUCUUUGGCAGUGCAGAGGUCAUCAGGCACUUUUACCCAAAGCGUUAACUCUCUCCGCGGGCAGCCAUCCAGUUCCCAAGCGCUGACUCUGAAUCUGCCAUCUGACCGCACCCUUAAUCCAGAGACCUACAAAGACGGCCGCCCACUGAUGCCCGCUGGGGCGUAAUGGACACCCACAAUGCACCAGUCUCUCUGGAAUGCUUUUGUAAUUGAAGAAUAAGAUCACUUUUCUGGUGAAAAAAAGAACUGGUUGUGUUGUAGAAAAAAUCCCAAAGCAUUUGUCUUCAUAAUUGUACUUGCUGGAUGAAGACAGCACUAUAAAAAUGCACCAUAGCAUCACAGAAUAAGCCAGUCCAGAACAUCUAAGCAUGCGCAAACUUUGUUAGAGGUUUUGUUUUAAAACAUGAAGUUGUUUGCACACAGGUAACUUUAGAAGUUUGAAUUGUUCUCUCUCUGCAGCUCAUGGAUGAGUGGUGACUAAUAUGAGAAGUGAAGACUCAUUUCAGUCCGUGGUAGACGCUCCCUCUCUGAUCUCCUGGAUGAAGGUGUGACUGUUGGUUAGUAUCAGGCAUUGAGGAACUGCGGGACUCGAACGUUUCAGCAACGCCCUGAUAAACAGCACGGCGAGGGCCAGGUCUGAACAGAACAAACGGUUAAAUUCAGCCAUCGCCACCCAUUGCCUCCUUUUGCUAAGUGUGUUAAUGGGUUAUCUGGCCAAAGACUAGUCAUCUUCAUCAAACAUGUAAAGUCACCUCCCUUCAACUCUAGUAAACACUAAGUGGUGGUUUUGGGAAAGUACAGCAUGUGUAAAACCACCACAGACAAACGUCCUGAUGUAAUGAAACAUAAAGGAUGGAUUUGAAAUAUUGAUAAGAUGGUUCUGUUAUGUUUAAGGAUGAUGCAGAAUUGUGAUUCAAAUAGAUUUGAGUGUAAAGAAUAAAGCUGAUGUUCAAAGAAA